rnacentral:rRNA from 1 species
GAUGAACGCUGGCGGCGUGCCUAAUACAUGCAAGUCGAGCGAAUGGAUUGAGAGCUUGCUCUUAUGAAGUUAGCGGCGGACGGGUGAGUAACACGUGGGUAACCUGCCCAUAAGACUGGGAUAACUCCGGGAAACCGGGGCUAAUACCGGAUAACAUUUUGAACCGCAUGGUUCGAAAUUGAAAGGCGGCUUCGGCUGUCACUUAUGGAUGGACCCGCGUCGCAUUAGCUAGUUGGUGAGGUAACGGCUCACCAAGGCAACGAUGCGUAGCCGACCUGAGAGGGUGAUCGGCCACACUGGGGCUGAGACACGGCCCAGACUCCUACGGGAGGCAGCAGUAGGGAAUCUUCCGCAAUGGACGAAAGUCUGACGGAGCAACGCCGCGUGAGUGAUGAAGGCUUUCGGGUCGUAAAACUCUGUUGUUAGGGGAGAACAAGUGCUAGUUGAAUAAGCUGGCACCUUGACGGUACCAAACCAGAAAGCCACGGCUAACUACGUGCCAGCAGCCGCGGUAA